AUUGAACGCUGGCGGCAGGCCUAACACAUGCAAGUCGAGCGAGCGGCGGACGGGUGAGUAAUGUAUGGAGAUCUGCGUGAUGUAGGGGGAUAACUGGUGUAAACGGUAGCUAAUAGUGCAUACCAUCAGAUGAGCCCAGAUGUGAUUAGCUAGUAGGUGGGGUAACGGCUCACCUAGGCGACGAUCCCUAGCUGGGCUGAGAGGAUGAGCAGCCACACUGGGAUUGAGACACGGCCCAGACUCCUACGGGAGGCAUCAGUGGGGAAUAGUGGACAAUGGGCGCAAGCCUGAUCCAGCCAUGCCGCGUGUAUGAAGAAGGCCUUCGGGUUGUAAAGUACUUUCAUUCGGGAGGCGGUAUCUACAGAAGAAGCACCGGCUAACUACGUGCCAGCAGCCGCGGUAAUUC
rnacentral:rRNA from 1 species